rnacentral:rRNA from 1 species
AUUGAACGCUGGCGGCAUGCCUUACACAUGCAAGUCGAACGGCAGCAUGGAGAGCUUGCUCUCUGAUGGCGAGUGGCGAACGGGUGAGUAAUGCAUCGGAACGUACCGUGUAAUGGGGGAUAACGUAGCGAAGGUUACGCUAAUACCGCAUACGACCUGAGGGUGAAAGCAGGGGAUCGCAAGACCUUGCGUUAUACGAGCGGCCGAUGUCAGAUUAGCUAGUUGGUGAGGUAAAGGCUCACCAAGGGGACGAUCUGUAGCGGGUCUGAGAGGAUGAUCCGCCACACUGGGACUGAGACACGGCCCAGACUCCUACGGGAGGCAGCAGUGGGGAAUUUUGGACAAUGGGGGCAACCCUGAUCCAGCCAUGCCGCGUGAGUGAAGAAGGCCUUCGGGUUGUAAAGCUCUUUCGGCCGGGAAGAAAUCGCACAGGCUAAUACUCUGUGUGGAUGACGGUACCGGCAUAAGAAGCACCGGCUAACUACGUGCCAGCAGCCGCGGUAA